GACGAACGCUGGCGGCGUGCCUAAUACAUGCAAGUAGAACGCUGAAGGAGGAGCUUGCUUCUCCGGAUGAGUUGCGAACGGGUGAGUAACGCGUAGGUAACCUGCCUGGUAGCGGGGGAUAACUAUUGGAAACGAUAGCUAAUACCGCAUAAGAGUAGAUGUCGCAUGACAUUUGCUUAAAAGGUGCAACUGCACCACUACCAGAUGGACCUGCGUUGUAUUAGCUAGUUGGUGAGGUAACGGCUCACCAAGGCAACGAUACAUAGCCGACCUGAGAGGGGGAUCGGCCACACUGGGACUGAGACACGGCCCAGACUCCUACGGGAGGCAGCAGUAGGGAAUCUUCGGCAAUGGACGGAAGUCUGACCGAGCAACGCCGCGUGAGUGAAGAAGGUUUUCGGAUCGUAAAGCUCUGUUGUAAGAGAAGAACGAGUGUGAGAGUGGAAAGUUCACACUGUGACGGUAUCUUACCAGAAAGGGACGGCUAACUACGCA
rnacentral:rRNA from 1 species